AUUUAUUUCACUGCCAUCCAAGAGAAGGGCGUCUGUGAUUUAUAAGCACACUCUUCUUAUCUCUUCCUUUCUUGAAGGACAAAAGAAAAAAAAAAGGAUCUGAAUCCAUUUGGUUUUGGUGAUUCUUGGGAGAAGGUGUAGUUCUCUGCAGGCUUAACACCAUACUAGCCCUUGAUCCCUUUAGACAAGAAGACCCAUCAUUUUCUUUCAAUAUAUAUUAUUCUUUCCAGAAAAUAAUUCAUAUACAGUGUACAGAAUUUCAUAUUUCUUACGCUCGUUUGUGUUUGGAAUCUUUCUUUAAAUGCCCUGUUCGAAGAUGGCUGAGAACGCUGCUACAAAGAACCAUUUUCCUCCCCAGGUUUUCAGUGUCUCUGUUGACAUGCCUUCUCAAGGUGGCUCCAAGUGGUUUGAUGAUGAUGG
rnacentral:misc_RNA from 1 species